rnacentral:rRNA from 1 species
GACGUAGGGCGCGAGCGUUGUCCGGAUUUAUUGGGCGUAAAGAGCUCGUAGGCGGUUUGUCGCGUCUGCUGUGAAAACCUAAGGCUCAACCUUGGGCUUGCAGUGGGUACGGGCAGACUAGAGUGCGGUAGGGGUGACUGGAAUUCCUGGUGUAGCGGUGGAAUGCGCAGAUAUCAGGAGGAACACCGAUGGCGAAGGCAAUCCCCUGGGCCUGCACUGACGCUCAUGCACGAAAGCGUGGGGAGCAAACAGG